rnacentral:rRNA from 1 species
GAUGAACGCUGGCGGCGUGCCUAAUACAUGCGAGUCGAGCGAACAGACGAGGAGCUUGCUCCUCUGACGUUAGCGGCGGACGGGUGAGUAACACGUGGAUAACCUACCUAUAAGACUGGGAUAACUUCGGGAAACCGGAGCUAAUACCGGAUAAUAUAUUGAACCGCAUGGUUCAAUAGUGAAAGACGGUUUUGCUGUCACUUAUAGAUGGAUCCGCGCCGCAUUAGCUAGUUGGUAAGGUAACGGCUUACCAAGGCGACGAUGCGUAGCCGACCUGAGAGGGUGAUCGGCCACACUGGAACUGAGACACGGUCCAGACUCCUACGGGAGGCAGCAGUAGGGAAUCUUCCGCAAUGGGCGAAAGCCUGACGGAGCAACGCCGCGUGAGUGAUGAAGGUCUUCGGAUCGUAAAUCUCUGUUAUUAGGGAAGAACAAAUGUGUAAGUAACUAUGCACGUCUUGACGGUACCUAAUCAGAAAGCCACGGCUAACUACGUG